GUAAAAGCGAUGAGUAGAAGGAGUAGUCUUACCUUUAAUUGAUAGAGAGCUCUUGUUUGGUGUAAGAGAGUAAUUAGGGGAGAUGAAGGUAGUCUAGGAGCUUAUUUUCUGAAUGGAGUAGGAGAAUACGCAGACACAGCGUUAUGUGAUAAGGCUGAAUAAGCAAAGUUAGGUGGUACCACGUCAAAGCACGUCCUUUCG
rnacentral:ncRNA from 1 species